CAGGACGAACGCUGGCGGCGUGCCUAACACAUGCAAGUCGAGCGGGGACAUACGACGGAGUCAAAGUUUCGGAUGGAGACAAAGAUGUAUGUUCUAGCGGCGGACGGGUGAGUAACGCGUGAGCAACCUGUCCCUUACAGGGGGAUAACACAGCGAAAGUUGUACUAAUACCGCAUAAGACCACGGAAGGACAUCCUUCAGGGGUCAAAGGAGCAAUCCGGUAAGGGGUGGGCUCGCGUCCGAUUAGAUAGUUGGUGAGGUAACGGCCCACCAAGUCGACGAUCGGUAGCCGACCUGAGAGGGUGAUCGGCCACAUUGGGACUGAGACACGGCCCAAACUCCUACGGGAGGCAGCAGUGGGGAAUAUUGGGCAAUGGGGGAAACCCUGACCCAGCAACGCCGCGUGAGGGAAGAAGGUUUUCGGAUCGUAAACCUCUGUCCUUGGUGAAGAGUGAGAGACGGUAGCCAAGGAGGAAGCCCUGGCUAACUACGUGCCAGCAGCAGC
rnacentral:rRNA from 1 species